rnacentral:rRNA from 1 species
CACCGCCCGUCACACCAUGGGAGUGGGUUGCACCCAGAAGUCAGUAGCUUAACUUAAUUGGGGGCGCUGACCACGGUGUGAUUCAUGACUGGGGUG